GACGAACGCUGGCGGCAUGCCUAAUACAUGCAAGUCGAGCGAACAGAUGAAGUGCUUGCACUUCUGACGUUAGCGGCGAACGGGUGAGUAACACGUAAGGAAUCUACCUAUAAGCGGGGGAUAACAUUCGGAAACGGGUGCUAAUACCGCAUAAUAUCUUCUUCCGCAUGGAAGAAGAUUGAAAGACGGCUCUGCUGUCGCUUAUAGAUGACCUUGCGGUGCAUUAGUUAGUUGGUGGGGUAAUGGCCUACCAAGACGAUGAUGCAUAGCCGACCUGAGAGGGUGAUCGGCCACAUUGGGACUGAGACACGGCCCAAACUCCUACGGGAGGCAGCAGCAGGGAAUCUUCCGCAAUGGGCGAAAGCCUGACGGAGCAAUGCCGCGUGAGUGAAGAAGGCCUUCGGGUCGUAAAACUCUGUUAUAAGAGAAGAACAAAUUGUAGAGUAACUGCUACAGUCUUGACGGUAUCUUAUCAGAAAGCCACGGCUAACUACGUGCCAGCCGCCGCAGUAA
rnacentral:rRNA from 1 species